rnacentral:lncRNA from 1 species
CUUCCUUCUCCUUCUUCUUCUUCUUCUUCUUCUUCUGCUGCUGCUGCUGCUGCUGCUGCUUAUUCGUUGGAGGAGGAGGAGCAUCUAUGCUUCGGGCGGCGGGAGAAGAGAUUUCUCUGCAAAAAAGGCUCUUGCUUGACUCUCGGCGUUCUUACAGGAUACCAUGGUGAUGGGGGCGGAUUACUACCAGACCGAGGCGGAGAUCGCGUCCAUUCUGGCCGAGGGGAAGGUCCCGAUCGGGAUCGGCAGGAACACCAAGAUCAGGUGGGGGACAAGGACGAAGGAGAAGACCAUCCUCAUUUUUUGCCGCAGAACUCCCCC